rnacentral:rRNA from 1 species
GAUGAACGCUGGCGGCGUGCCUAAUACAUGCAAGUCGAGCGAACAGACGAGGAGCUUGCUCCUCUGACGUUAGCGGCGGACGGGUGAGUAACACGUGGAUAACCUACCUAUAAGACUGGGAUAACUUCGGGAAACCGGAGCUCAUACCGGAUAAUAUAUUGAACCGCAUGGUUCAAUAGUGAAAGACGGUUUUGCUUUCACUUAUAGAUGGAUCCGCGCCGCAUUAGCUAGUUGGUAAGGUAACGGCUUACCAAGGCGACGAUGCGUAGCCGACCUGAGAGGGUGACAGGCCACACUGGAACUGAGACACGGUCCAGACUCCUACGGGAGGCAGCCGUAGGGAAUCUUCCGCAAUGGGCGAAAGCCUGACGGAGCAACGCCGCGUGAGUGAUGAAGGUCUUCGGAUCGUAAAACUCUGUUAUUAGGGAAGAACAAAUGUGUAAGUAACUAUGCACGUCUUGACGGUACCUAAUCAGAAAGCCACGGCUAACUACGUG